UACGGGGGGGGCAAGCGUUGUUCGGAAUUACUGGGCGUAAAGGGCUCGUAGGCGGCCAACUAAGUCAGACGUGAAAUCCCUCGGCUUAACCGGGGAACUGCAUCUGAUACUGGGUGGCUUGAGUUCGGGAGAGGGAUGCGGAAUUCCAGGUGUAGCGGUGAAAUGCGUAGAUAUCGUGAGGAACACCAGAGGCGAAGGCGGCUACCUGGACAAUUGCUGACGCUCAGGCACGAAAGCGUGGGGAGCAAAAGGG
rnacentral:rRNA from 1 species